UACGAAGGGGGCUAGCGUUGCUCGGAAUCACUGGGCGUAAAGCGCACGUAGGCGGCUUUUUAAGUCAGGGGUGAAAUCCUGGAGCUCAACUCCAGAACUGCCUUUGAUACUGGCGAUCUUGAGUCCGGGAGAGGUGAGUGGAACUGCGAGUGUAGAGGUGAAAUUCGUAGAUAUUCGCAAGAACACCAGUGGCGAAGGCGGCUCACUGGCCCGGUACUGACGCUGAGGUGCGAAAGCGUGGGGAGCAAACAGG
rnacentral:rRNA from 1 species